UCUAUGUGAUGAUUAUUUAAACACCAUCUUUCGACUGAAAGUUAUGAUUUUACAAACUUUAUUUACUGAUGAUGACA
rnacentral:snoRNA from 1 species